GAUGAAGAACGUAGCGAAAUGCGAUAAGUAAUGCGAAUUGCAGAAUUUCCGUGAGUCAUCGAAUCUUUGAACGCAUAUUGCGCCCUUUGGUAUUCCGAAGGGCAUGCCUGUUCGAGCGUCAUUAUCACCGUAUCAAGCUUGGCUUGUUGUUGGGCCCUUUGUCACCUGGUGACAGGUCCAAAAGACAAUAACCGGUGUCAUACAGACUCUAUAUGCAACGAGCUUAUAACAGCACGCAUCUGGUAGUCAUAUGGCCCAGUUCUCACUUUGAUAAAUAUAUUUUUCUCAAGGUUGACCUCGGAUCAGGUAGGAAUACCCGCUGAACUUAAGCAUAUCAAUAAGCGGAGGA
rnacentral:misc_RNA from 1 species